rnacentral:rRNA from 1 species
AACGUAGGACGCAAGCGUUAUCCGGAGUUACUGGGCGUAAAGCGCGGGCAGGCGGCUCGAAACGUCUGAUGUGAAAGCACCCGGCUCAACCGGGUGAGGCCAUUGGAAACGGUCGAGCUGGAGGCAGUAGAGGUAGGCGGAAUUCCGGGUGGAGUGGUGAAAUGGCGUAGAGAUCCGGAGGAACACCAGAGGCGAAGGCG